CGUUGAUACACUAAUUCCCAUGCAAUCACCGAAGUUAAGCAACAUUGAACCUGGUCAGUACCUAGAUGGGUGACCGUUUGGCAAUACCAGGUGUUGUAAG